AUGAUACCAAUUGUUGGAACCGUAGCCCUCUCUCACGCUCGACUAGAGGUAGAAGAAGACACAAGACACAAGAAAUUUCGGGCCGGCGCACGAACGCCGCCGUGGGCGCACACACGCCUUAAUCUUCUUUAUCUUUUCAAUGGCUACAUCGCUGGCUCUUCCGGCGCACUUAAUCAGUACAUGGAAGGGCUUUUUAUACCCGGACGCACACACCAGGCUAGCUACCACGCACGCACCGACCACUACUGCCUAUCUCGCCCAGCUACGCACGCGAUCCGCAUGUCACACCGGCCGCGCUCAAACGCAUGCCACGGCCUGCUCGGAUCGCCCCGGCUCCUUUGCAACCAACCAACUACCUGA
rnacentral:rRNA from 1 species